rnacentral:rRNA from 1 species
GACGUGAAAGACAAGUGUUAUUCACCAUUAAUAGGUUUAAAGGGUACCUAGACGGCAAAUCUUGCCUUUGUUUUUGGGGAACAGAUUUGCUAGAGUUUUAUGUGAGAAGGGGAGAAUUGGAGGUGGAGUGAUGAAAUACUUUGAUACCUUUAGGACUGGUAAUGGCGUAGGCAACCUUCUAUGUAAAACUGACGUUGAGGACGAAGGCUUUGGUAAUAAAAAGG